rnacentral:rRNA from 1 species
GAUUCUGGCUCAGGAUGAACGCUAGCUACAGGCUUAACACAUGCAAGUCGAGGGGCAGCGGGGAUCUAGCUGCUAGAUCUGCUGGCGACCGGCGCACGGGUGAGUAACGCGUAUCCAACCUUCCCCUUAGUAGGGCAUAGCCCGUAGAAAUGCGGAUUAAUACCCUAUGUUCUUCGUCGAAGACAUCUGAAGUGAAGCAAAGAUUUAUCGCUAAGGGAUGGGGAUGCGUCUGAUUAGCUUGCCGGCGGGGUAACGGCCCACCGGGGCAACGAUCAGUAGGGGUUCUGAGAGGAAGGUCCCCCACAUUGGAACUGAGACACGGUCCAAACUCCUACGGGAGGCAGCAGUGAGGAAUAUUGGUCAAUGGUCGAGAGACUGAACCAGCCAAGUAGCGUGCAAGGAUGACGGCCCUAUGGGUUGUAAACUGCUUUUAUGCGGGGAUAAAGUGCGGCACGUGUGCCGUUUUGUAGGUACCGCAUGAAUAAGGACCGGCUAAUUCCGUGCCAGCAGCUGC